GACGAACGCUGGCGGCGUGCUUAACACAUGCAAGACGAACGGUAAGGCCCUUCGGGGUACACGAGUGGCGAACGGGUGAGUAACACGUGGGUGAUCUGCCCUGCACUUCGGGAUAAGCCUGGGAAACUGGGUCUAAUACCGGAUAGGACCACUGCCUGCAUGGGAGGUGGUGGAAAGCUUGUGCGGUGUGGGAUGGGCCCGCGGCCUAUCAGCUUGUUGGUGGGGUGAUGGCCUACCAAGGCGACGACGGGUAGCCGGCCUGAGAGGGUGACCGGCCACACUGGGACUGUGAUACGGCCCAGACUCCUACGGGAGGCAGCAGUGGGGAAUAUUGCACAAUGGGCGCAAGCCUGAUGCAGCGACGCCGCGUGAGGGAUGACGGCCUUCGGGUUGUAAACCUCUUUCAGCACCGACGAAGCGCAAGUGACGGUAGGUGCAGAAGAAGGACCGGCCAACUACGUGCCAGCCGCCGCGGUAA
rnacentral:rRNA from 1 species